rnacentral:rRNA from 1 species
AACGUAGGUACCGAGCGUUAUCCGGAUUUACUGGGCGUAGAGCGUGUUCAGGCGGCCUGGCAAGUCGGGCAUGAAAUCUCUCGGCUCAACCGAGAGAGGCUGUCCGAUACUGCUGGGCUUGAGGACGGUAGAGGGUGGUGGAAUUCCGCGUGUAGUGGUGAAAUGCGUAGAUAUGCGGAGGAACACCAGUGGCGAAGGCGGCCACCUGGACCGUCCCUGACGCUCAAACACGAAAGCUAGGGUAGCGAACGGG